GACAAGCGGGGACGAUGGCGCUGAAGCGGAUCCAGAAGGAAUUGACCGACUUGCAGCGGGAUCCUCCCGCCCAGUGCUCCGCAGGACCUGUGGGUGAUGACUUGUUCCACUGGCAGGCCACCAUCAUGGGCCCGAACGACAGCCCUUACCAAGGAGGCGUUUUCUUCCUGACCAUCCACUUUCCUACGGAUUACCCCUUCAAGCCCCCAAAGGGAGUGGUGGUGCUGCAGGACCUCAUGAGGGAUGGCCACGCAUGCUGCUCAGUACCCUGUGGUGCCCGGGACGGAAGAUGCACAGGUUGCUUUCACAACCAAAAUCUAUCACCCCAAUAUCAACAGCAAUGGCAGCAUCUGCCUGGACAUCCUGCGAUCACAGUGGUCUCCAGCACUGACGGUGUCCAAAGUUCUCUUGUCCAUCUGCUCUCUGCUCUGCGACCCCAACCCUGAUGACCCUCUGGUGCCAGAAAUAGCUCACACCUACAAGGCCGACAGAGAGAAGUACAACAGGCUAGCACAAGAGUGGACACAGAAAUAUGCUAUGUAAGUGCCUCGGAGGUUUUGAGGGACAGACUCGCCUGCCAGGCCCAUGUCUGCCUGUGAAGCUGAGCUGUGGGCUGCACCACUCAUGGAGCGUCGUCUCUUCUUCACGCACGCCUUGGCCGCCCCCUCUUUCUGGCUGCAGCAUGUUGGUGCCACUCUCAGCCAUUGUGGCUUUGACAGAGUCACAUCUUUGAUGCCAAAUCAGCAGCCAUUGUUAUGAUCUGCAGCCUUCCUGGUUAUACUGAAACCAGUCCGUCUGCUCAUGUCAUCUGUUCCGUCUGGGGGACAGGGUCCUGCACACCUCCCCCGUCAGCCUUGGACAGUGCCGCCGCUCACUGUGGCACCAGGUGGGAGCCCAGCCUGGCCCCUCACCACCUGCCCUUUGCCUUUAGAACUCAGAGUCGUCCUGGGCAUCCAGGGCAGAGCGGGCUUCCUUUACAUCUCGUCUGCCACAGAGCCAUGUCCUCAGGAGUCUGAGUACAUCCUGGAGGCUCCUGGGAAUUGGGACAGUGUCACUGGAAAGCAGAAGCCUCAUUCUGUGGCUUCUGCCAUCUUCCACUGUCUUCCUCUGCAGAUCCACAUGGUGCAUUUCUCUCCUCACAACAAGAAGCAGGAAGGGGAAGAUGUCGGGAUGUAAAGCACGUAACACUCCCUGAAAGAUGACGGUGUGUUUUAGAAGCAAGAGCGAAAUUAUGAAACCAGGAAAGAUUUAGAUUCUUUUGUAUGUGAUGAGGGUUCCCCAACCCCACCACCUCCUGCCAGGAACAUACACAAAGUCCAAGUGUAAGCCAUUCGCAGACGAGAACACAAAUACUGGGAAAGACUUUCAAAUGUAAAUAAAAAUGUGGUUUCCUUAUAACUCAAUGAUAA